GGAGGCGGGACUCCGGACGCCGCCGCUCAGAAGGGUAAGAAAGGCCUCACUGUGCGAGCAGCAGCCUGCAGAUGGCAAUAAAGGACAGUGUAGCAGACGGCAACAAUGCAGUGGAUUGUAAAUUGUGACUUACUGUAUGUCUGACAGAAUCUGAGUCUGAGUCCUCUGAGGAGAGCGACGGGAAACAGAAGCGAGAGCACCAGGAGGCUGCGGCAGAGACUGUCAGCAGUUUGGGUGAGAGCCACCAAAAGCACUGAAAUCACAUGCGAGAGCAGCCCCGCGGCUUCCUGCUGUAAUUUCCCAUUUUCUCACACGUCCUCUGCAGGUGAGGCCAGUCAGGACGAGCCCACGCAGCAAGGUGAAACUCCCCCCAGAACACAUUUCAGUACUGCGCUUACCACACACACACGCACACACUAAAAUCCUCCUCCAUUUUUUUUUUUUUUUUUUUUUUUCACUUUGCUGUCUGGUGGAAACAGUGUGACUAAGAUUUCAAUGAAGCUCACUCCUCACUCAGAAGUACCGGCUGAGGCAAGCUGUGCCGAAGUGCUUUGAGUAACUGCAGUUAAGUUUAAAUUGUAGGUUAUGCAACAAGCUGAAUUGAAAAAAAAAAAAACAGAGGCGGUCACAGCCGGCCUCAGCUGGAUUGAAAUAGUGUCAAAAGAAGGAAAAAAAUAGUCUUUUAUAGUCAAUUGGUUCAAGGUCAAAACAAAUUUUACAACUUGCAAGCUUGUAAACAAAAACACCCAAAGUGGUAUUUUUGUCACUUUAAUUUGCACUUAUAAAAAA